rnacentral:lncRNA from 1 species
AUGUUGGCUAGCCUCCUUCUUCAAUUUGAAUGUUGAAUUUCCAACAUCAAUAUCUCCUUAUCAAACUAUUUGAUUGAUAUCAGAUUUCUUUUAUAUGUAAGAAAAUAAGUUUAUUUUCCAUAUACAUAAUUUUUACUCCAAUCCAAUUAAUAGAUUGCAAGAAAUCUAAGAAACCUUUAGUAGACCAAAAACUCUACUUCUUGAGACCUUGAUCCACUUAAACUUCAAUAAUCCUUGAUCCAGUCCUUCAAUCAAGCUCAAACUUGUAAUAUAUAUUGAAGACAUAUAUAUCCACAUAUCCUCAAAAUUUCACUUAAAAAUCUAUUGUCAAACUUAUCAAAUUCUCCAAAAAUCAUCACCUACUUUAUUUCACAAAUCUAGAGUCACCUAAAACAAACCCCAUUUUUGCAAAGCUCUUACAAAGUUAAUACACAUUUAAAUCACUCGAAAUAAACAUUUAAAAAAAACUUAUUAAGUCAGCUCCUAGAUUCUAUUCUUUGAUCUCCAAAAGAACCUCAAAAUCAUCAUC